CAACUGAGUAUGCCCCUCUUAGUACAAAAAAUAAUAUACUCAAGACUGCCAUCUUAGUUCAAAAUUGAUAUGGUAACUCUUCAAACUCCAGACAAACAUUAUUAUUCUAACUCUUCGAACUCCAGAAUACCUUCAAAGUAGUUCACAUACUGGUACGGUUACUCACCAAAUUCCAGACUCCCAUCCAAGUACAAAAAAAGCUACUAAAUUACAACUCUUCAAUUCCUGAGUGACUAUCUUCUAAAAGUAUAAGUUAAUACAUGCAUAUCUUUUCAAACUCCUGACUACAUUUCUUAGAAUUAUCAUUGAUAUUGCCAUUUUUUUAAACUUCAGACUUUCCUCGAAGAAUAAACAUUGGUAUAUUGAUAUUGUAAUUUUUCACACUUCGGGCUUACUCUUUACCAGCAA
rnacentral:lncRNA from 1 species